rnacentral:tRNA from 1 species
GGAGAUGUGGCCGAGAGGCUGAAGGCGCCCGUUUGCUAAACGGGUGUACGCUCAAAAGGCGUACCGAGGGUUCGAAUCCCUCCGUCUCCGCCA